AUAAUCUAAUAAGCAAUUGCCGCAAGAUGGGGAAGUCCGUGAGAACCGGACACAGUCGCGCUACGGUAUCGGAAGGUCGUAAUGGCAAUUCCGGAGUCCGAUUACCAUGGUAAUUGCUAAUUUUUUGU
rnacentral:ncRNA from 1 species